AAGGAGCGCCUGCGCUUCCAGUUCUUGGAGCAGAAAUACGGCUAUUACCACUGCAAGGACUGCAACAUCCGCUGGGAGAGCGCCUAUGUGUGGUGUGUGCAGGGCACCAACAAGGUUUACUUUAAGCAGUUCUGCAGGACUUGUCAGAAGUCGUACAACCCUUACCGAGUGGAGGCCAUCACCUGUCAAAGUUGUAAACAGACUAGAUGCUCCUGCUCAAUAAAACUUCGCCACAUUGACCCUAAACGGCCCCACCGGCAAGAUUUGUGUGGGAGGUGCAAAGGCAAACGCCUGUCCUGUGACAGCACGUUCAGCUUCAAAUAUAUCAUUUAAAUGAAUGUAAAAAACCCGUCCUUCCGACCGCGUGCUAGUGGAGCGGACAAGUGAGCUGUGUGGCCCUUCUCCUUUUUGCCUCCUCGUGCAAGGCUGUGUUUCUUGACAAAACCUUUAAAUAAAAAGAAUUGCAAAACAA